GGGUCCAUUCCUCCCUCAAGGCUCCAGAUGCGUCCCUCCUGAUGCUGAGUGUUCCUUCAAAGGGGACGCGCUUCCCCGAAUAGAGGAGGAGCCGGUUUCGGUCAAGCGUAGGGAGUAGCUGCGCUCCCUUGCUAGAACCUCCAAACAAGCCCUCAACUACUGAGGAUGAAGGCCUCCAUGAGUAGCCGUGCGUGGGAUUCAUUGGAGCAUUUUCUC
rnacentral:sRNA from 1 species